AUGUUGAGCACGACCGGCGCGCCGCACAGGUGCGUCACCCCGUGGCGAGAGAUGGCGGCGUAGACAUCUGCGACCCCCACCCGGCGAAGGCAGACGUUGGUGCCGCCCACCACGGCCACCCCCCACGGAAAGCUCCAGCCGUUGACGUGGAACAUGGGGAGCGUCCACAGGUACGUCGGCCGCGCCGGCAUCGCCCAGUCCACGAGCGAGUCGAGGGUUAUCAAGAAGAUGCCGCGGUGGCAGUGCAACACCCCCUUGGGCGCCGACGUCGUACCGAAGGUGUAG
rnacentral:rRNA from 1 species